rnacentral:rRNA from 1 species
GAUGAACGCUGGCGGCGUGCCUAAUACAUGCAAGUCGAGCGAACAGACGAGGAUCUUGCUCCUUUGACGUUAGCGGCGGACGGGUGAGUAACACGUAUGUAACCUACCUAUAAGACUGGGAUAACUUCGGGAAACCGGAGCUAAUACCGGAUAAUAUUUCGAACCGCAUUGUUCGAUAGUGAAAGAUGGCUUUGCUAUCACUUAUAGAUGGACAUGCGCCGGAUUAGCUAGUUGGUAAGGUAACGGCUUACCAAGGCAACGAUACGUAGCCGACCUGAGAGGGUGAUCGCCCACACUGGAACUGAGACACGGUCCAGACUCCUACGGGAGGCCGCAGUAGGGAAUCUUACGCAAUGGGCGAAAGCCUGACGGAGCAACGCCGCGUGAGUGAUGAAGGCGCUCGGAUCGUAAAACUCUGUUAUUAGGGAAGAACAAACGUGUAAGUAACUGUGCACGUCUUGACGGUACCUAGUCAGAAAGCCACGGCUAACUACGUG